rnacentral:rRNA from 1 species
UGGGGAAUCUUGGACAAUGGGGGCAACCCUGAUCCAGCCAUGCCGCGUGAGUGAUGAAGGCCUUAGGGUCGUAAAGCUCUUUCGCCUGUGAAGAUAAUGACGGUAGCAGGUAAAGAAACCCCGGCUAACUCCGUGCCAGCAGCCGCGGUAAUACGGAGGGGGUUAGCGUUGUUCGGAAUUACUGGGCGUAAAGCGCACGUAGGCGGACCAGAAAGUUGGGGGUGAAAUCCCGGGGGCUCAACCCCGGAACUGCCUCCAAAACUAUUGGUCUAGAGUUCGAGAGAGGUGAGUGGAAUUCCAAGUGUAGAGGUGAAAUUCGUAGAUAUUUGGAGGAACACCAGUGGCGAAGGCGGCUCACUGGCUCGAUACUGACGCUGAGGUGCGAAAGUGUGGGGAGCAAAACAGGAUUAGAUACCCUGGUAGUCCACACCGUAAAACGAUGAAUGCCAGUCGUCGGGUAGCAUGCUAUUCGGUGACACACCUAACGGAUUAAGCAUUCCGCCUGGGGAGUACGGUCGCAAGAUUAAAACUCAAA